rnacentral:rRNA from 1 species
GAUGAACGCUGGCGGCGUGCCUAAUACAUGCGAGUCGAGCGAACAGACGAGGAGCUUGCUCCUCUGAUGUUAGCGGCGGACGGGUGAGUAACACGUGGAUAACAUACCUAUAAGACUGGGAUAACUUCGGGAAAACGGAGCUAAUACCGGAUAACAUGAUGAACCGCAUGGAUCAACAGUGAAAGACGGUUUUGCUGUCUCUUAUAGAUGGAUCCGCGCCGCAUUAGCUAGUUGGCAAGGUAACGGCUUACCAAGGCAACGAUGCGUAGCUGACCUGAGAGGGUGAUCGGCCACACUGGAACUGAGACACGGUCCAGACUCCUACGGGAGGCAGCAGUAGGGAAUCUUCCGCAAUGGGCGAAAGCCUGACGGAGCAACGCCGCGUGAGUGAUGAAGGUCUUCGGAUCGUAAAACUCUGUUAUUAGGGAAGAACAAAUGUGUAAGUAACUAUGCACGUCUUGACGGUACCUAAUCAGAAAGCCACGGCUAACUACGUG